UACGAAGGGGGCUAGCGUUGCUCGGAAUCACUGGGCGUAAAGGGUGCGUAGGCGGGUCUUUAAGUCAGGGGUGAAAUCCUGGAGCUCAACUCCAGAACUGCCUUUGAUACUGAGGAUCUUGAGUAUGGGAGAGGUGAGUGGAACUGCGAGUGUAGAGGUGAAAUUCGUAGAUAUUCGCAAGAACACCAGUGGCGAAGGCGGCUCACUGGCCCAUAACUGACGCUGAGGCACGAAAGCGUGGGGAGCAAACAGG
rnacentral:rRNA from 1 species